GCCUUCGUGGUGUAGUGGUCAGCACUCUAGACGCGUGUUCCAGAUGACCGUGGUUCGAGUCCCGGCGAAGGGG
rnacentral:tRNA from 1 species